rnacentral:lncRNA from 1 species
CCCGGGCCGGGUCGCACAGCUCCUGCGACACACUUUCAAACCGGCCCCGCCGUCCGUUACGUCUCGAGACCUCUCGUAAUGAAAGUACUCGGUUCAGAACAGGAAUAAUAAUGUGAAGCAAAUGAAAACGAAGGCGUCUAGGCAAGGUUUGCGGUAGAAGGAACAACGUACUGCUAUCUUGUGAAGAAGUGUUGCCAGGGCGACAGGCCUGGAAAUGGGCAAGUGACAGGAAAGGACAUGUGAUUUCUUCUGUGUGUGCACCUGCUGAUGUGAGAGCUGAGUACUAUGCUGUCCUCUCCAGCCACCAGAAUCAUGAUCCAAGUAAACUUCCUUACUUUACUGUCUGAAUCUCUCCCUCUGCUUGAAAUGCAUCAUGUAGUCAUUCCCAUGGGAAGGUUCUGAUUAAAGACAAAUCUGAUACGUGAGUUAGUUACAAUCUGCUGCCAGGUAUGGGAAAGGAAUAGAACCUUGGAUUCCAGACGAUGCACUAUUUCUUAUUCCACCCAGAGCAAUAUCUUCACUUACAGGACUUCUAUCUUCACCAAGUCAGUAUGCAAGGCCUUGUGACCUGUCCUCAGGAGUUGUGCAGGUUUUGGUACAUCAUCCGAGGUGGCCUUGAACUCUUUGUAGGCUGAGCUGUCCUCAAACUCAUGACACUCCUGCCUCAGCCUCCCAAAAGCUGCGAUUACAGGCACAGACCAUGUGGUGCAGGCUGGGAUCUGGAGAAGAAAAGAGGAGAAUUAGAGGAAGGUGUAAGAGGUUGGGGAAGGGCAUUUUGGGUGAGGAGAAUGCCUGAGAAAAAGACAGAGAAGAAAUUACUGGGCUCGCCAAGGAAUGGUUGCCUUGCUGAGCAGCCUUGCACAAGCAGGGAAUCUGAGACAGACUGCGGGAACAUUUGGGAGCAGCCCUGCUGGAAUGCCAACACAGCAGCUGAAGGGCAAGUCUGGUGCUGUGGGAGAGGGUGACUAUUCUGUCCAGCACUCACCAGGAGCAGAGACCCUGCAGCCAAAAGCUAAGAUAGUCUCAGAUGAACGUGACCAGGGCCAGGCUUUCUGCAUUUGCUGCAGCAGAACAAGUGGCUUGUUCAAUUCAGAAGGACCACUGUCCACACUGUGACUGCUGUCAUCAGUAAUAGCCUGUCCCAUGGCAGCCCUCUCACUUCAGAGAGCAGCUUGGCAAGCUCAGGUCUUCAUUUUCUAGGCCUUUCCAAACACUGUAUCAUGUCAUUUCCAUGUGGAAGGCUGACACUAUUUUUGUUUCAUCUGGAGGCAAUCACUGGCUAAUUGCUCCCCCAAACAGAAGCCAAGAACUUAUGAGAGAAGUCCCCUCUGCCAUAUUUGAAAAUGGGCCAGACAGAAGAUGGGAAGCAAUCACUAGUUGUGUUAUAUCCGAAUUCAUGUCAUCAUGGCUGAAAAGGGAAUUUUAGAGUCAGAUCUUGAAAAAUCUUUUUCUCAUACUUUAG